AACGAACGCUGGCGUCAUGCCUAACACAUGCAAGUCGAACGAGACCUUCGGGUCUAGUGGCGCACGGGUGCGUAACGCGUGGGAACCUGCCCUUAGGGUCGGAAUAACUCCCCGAAAGGGGUGCUAAUACCGGAUAAUGUCUUCGGACCAAAGAUUUAUCGCCUUUGGAUGGACCCGCGUUGGAUUAGCUAGUUGGUAGGGUAAAAGCCUACCAAGGCGACGAUCCAUAGCUGGGCUGAGAGGAUGAUCAGCCACACUGGGACUGAGACACGGCCCAGACUCCUACGGGAAGCAGCAGUGGGGAAUAUUGGACAAUGGGCGAAAGCCUGAUCCAGCAAUGCCGCGUGAGUGAUGAAGGCCUUAGGGUUGUAAAGCUCUUUUACCCGGGAUGAUAAUGACAGUACCGGGAGAAUAAGCUCCGGCUAACUCCGUG
rnacentral:rRNA from 1 species